UUCCCACAUGUGUGCAGAUUCCUGAAGAAGCCAGAAGAGGGCACCUGAUGACUCAAGCUGUAUUCUCAAGCAUAUGGGAAUCACCUGUUGGGGAUGAUGAGAUGGGAACUCUGGCCCUCAGGAUAGAGCCGUCAGCACCUUUAACCUCUGAGCCAUCUCUCCAGUCUCUGUUUCACUUAUUUUUAAUUAUCUGGUACCUUGAGGGCUGGAGAGAUGUCCAAGUGGGUAAGGACACUUGCUGUAAUUUGUGACUCCUGCUUCGAGAGGCAAAGCCAGAGAGGACAGCCAGAGGAGCCAAAAUGGCAAGUUUGGGGUUCCCUGAGAGA
rnacentral:lncRNA from 1 species